rnacentral:rRNA from 1 species
GACGAACGCUGGCGGCGUGCCUAAUACAUGCCAGUAGAACGCUGAAGGAGGAGCCUGCUUCUCCGGAUGAGUUGCGAACGGGUGAGUAACGCGUAGGUAACCUGCCUGGUAGCGGGGGAUAACUAUUGGAAACGAUAGCUAAUACCGCAUAACAGUAGAUGUUGCAUGACAUUUGCUUAAAAGGUGCAAUUGCAUCACUACCAGAUGGACCUGCGUUGUAUUAGCUAGUUGGUGAGGUAACGGCUCACCAAGGCGACGAUACAUAGCCGACCUGAGAGGGUGAUCGGCCACACUGGGACUGAGACACGGCCCAGACUCCUACGGGAGGCAGCAGUAGGGAAUCUUCGGCAAUGGACGGAAGUCUGACCGAGCAACGCCGCGUGAGGGAAGAAGGUUUUCGGAUCGUAAAGCUCUGUUGUAAGAGAAGAACGAGUGUGAGAGUGGAAAGUUCACACUGUGACGGUAUCUUACCAGAAAGGGACGGCUAACUACGUG